rnacentral:rRNA from 1 species
UACGGAGGGUGCAAGCGUUAUCCGGAUUUACUGGGUUUAAAGGGUGCGUAGGUGGGUUGGUAAGUCAGUGGUGAAAUACUUUCGCUUAACGAAGGAACUGCCAUUGAUACUACCAGUCUUGAAUACAGUGGAGGUAGGCGGAAUGCGUCAUGUAGCGGUGAAAUGCUUAGAUAUGACGCAGAACACCAAUUGCGAAGGCAGCUUGCUACACUGUUAUUGACACUGAGGCUCGAAAGCGUGGGGAUCAAACAGG